AGAGUCUCGAUCCUGGCUCAGGAUGAACGCUAGCGGCAGGCUUAAUACAUGCAAGUCGAACGGCAGCACAGGUAGCAAUACUGGGUGGCGAGUGGCGCACGGGUGCGUAACACGUAUGCAACCUACCCUUUACUGGGGCAUAACCUUUAGAAAUGAGGGCUAAUUCCCCAUGGUAUUAUGAGAAGGCAUCUUUUUAUAAUAUAAGGAUUUAUCGGUAAAGGAUGGGCAUGCGUCCCAUUAGUUAGUUGGCGAGGUAACGGCUCACCAAGGCGAUGAUGGGUAGGGGUUCUGAGAGGAUUAUCCCCCACACUGGUACUGAGACACGGACCAGACUCCUACGGGAGGCAGCAGUAAGGAAUAUUGGGCAAUGGGCGAGAGCCUGACCCAGCAUGCCCGCGUGCAGGAAGACGGCCUUAUGGGUUGUAAACUGCUUUUAUAAGGGAAUAACCUUCCCGUACGAGUACGGAACUGCGUGUACCUUAUGAAUAAGCAUCGGCUAACUCCGUGCCAGCAGCCGCGGUAAUACGGAGGAUGCAAGCGUUAUCCGGAAUCAUUGGGUUUAAAGGGUGCGUAGGCGGGAUUGUAAGUCAGUGGUGAAAUUUCCGGGCUUAACCUGGGCGCUGCCAUUGAUACUGCAGUUCUUGAGUAUAGUUGAUGUUGGCGGAAUGUGUCAUGUAGCGGUGAAAUGCAUAGAUAUGACACAGAACACCGAUAGCGAAGGCAGCUGACAAAACUAUAACUGACGCUGAUGCACGAAAGCGUGGGGAGCAAACAGGAUUAGAUACCCUGGUAGUCCACGCUGUAAACGAUGAUAACUAGCUGUAGGCGAUACACAGUCUGUGGCUAAGCGAAAGCGAUAAGUUUACCACCUGGGGAGUACGUCGGCANG
rnacentral:rRNA from 1 species